UACGGGGGGGGCAAGCGUUGUUCGGAAUUACUGGGCGUAAAGGGCUCGUAGGCGGCCAACUAAGUCAGACGUGAAAUCCCCAGGCUCAACCUGGGAACUGCGUCUGAUACUGGAUGGCUUGAAUCCGGGAGAGGGAUGCAGAAUUCCAGGUGUAGCGGUGAAAUGCGUAGAUAUCUGGAGGAAUACCGGUGGCGAAGGCGGGUCUCUGGGCCGAUACUGACGCUGAGGAGCGAAAGCGUGGGGAGCGAACAGG
rnacentral:rRNA from 1 species